AAUCUGCCCGGUAGUGGGGGAUAACCUGGGGAAACCCAGGCUAAUACCGCAUACGUCCUACGGGAGAAAGCAGGGGAUCUUCGGACCUUGCGCUAUUGGAUGAGCCUAUGUCGGAUUAGCUGGUUGGUGAGGUAAUGGCUCACCAAGGCGACGAUCCGUAGCUGGUCUGAGAGGAUGAUCAGCCACAUCGGGACUGAGACACGGCCCGAACUCCUACGGGAGGCAGCAGUGGGGAAUAUUGGACAAUGGGGGCAAGCCUGAUCCAGCCAUGCCGCGUGUGUGAAGAAGGCCUUCGGGUUGUAAAGCACUUUCAGUGGGGAAGAAAGCCUCGGGGCUAAUACCCUCGAGGGAUGACGUCACCCACAGAAGAAGCACCGGCUAACUCCGUGCCAGCAGCCGCGGUAAUACGGAGGGUGCGAGCGUUAAUCGGAAUUACUGGGCGUAAAGCGCGCGUAGGCGGCCUGAUAAGCCAGAUGUGAGAGCCCCGGGCUCAACCUGGGAACGGCAUCUCGAACUGUCAGGCUAGAGUGCGGGAGAGGAAAGUGGAAUUCCCGGUGUAUCGGUGAAAUGCGUAGAUAUCGGGAGGAAUACCAGUGGCGAAGGCGGCCAUCUG
rnacentral:rRNA from 1 species